GGUUACUUAUAAUAUAUAAUGAGUGGGGUCCAAAGGCAAAUGAAUUGAUAAAAAUCCCCUGCAACCAUUACUCCUAACUUUCAAAGCUAUUCAAAGUAGUGGUUGGAAGCUCUCAGCCAUAGCAGCUCCUCAAGAUUUCUACAAGAACAUCAAGUAUCUUCAAGAUCUCUAAAGUUGAUUUUUGGGAUUUUCUUCAAAAAGAUUGAAGUUGUUAGAAUCAUUUGAAACGCUUGGAACGACUCUUAGCUUAAUUAAGGAGACUUCAAGGUUUAGCAGGCGAUCAGGUGCAGGACGGUCAACAUGCGGGUUAGAGUUCCUGCAGCUUUCUACUUUUGGUGGGCCCACUUUUGCACUCGUGGAUCACUCUAUUUCAGUUGUAUACUUUUGUAUAGUGCGGGAUGACCCCGUAACUUUAUUAUUUCAUUCGUAGCGUCAUAGAGGCUCCAUAGAGACUUUGUAUUAUUUUGCUCAGUAGGUACUCAUAUGGCAUAGCGAAUGACAUUUCUACCUAUGUUUACUUUACUGUUGAUGUACUUUGAUUGUGAAGGGAGUUAUUUUAUUUUGUCUCA